UACUCAUUUAUUUUAGUAAGAAAUCACUCCAAGCAGUAAGAUGGACAUCAUGAUAAAAAUAUCGCUCCAGUUUCCUUAUCUUAUGACUCAUAGGCCAUAGUUUUUAGUUGGGCGUGCACAAUACCUGUAUAUGAUGUUUGAGCUUUCCACAUCUGUCUAUUAUAUAUUAUAUAUAUACACUAAAAGAACAAUAUGGUAGAAAAUAGAGAAGUAUGCUAGAAAUUUCUGCAAAAAAGCAAAACAACUAAUCUUUGAUCUGGUAGACCGUCUCUUUAUUAGUAGAUCACAACCGUUCGAUCUAUAUAAUGGUACCUAAACAGAUCAUACCCAUUAGAUCAACAUAAAUGUACCUAAAUGAUCGUACCCAUUAGAUCUAGUACAUAAGCAUGCCUAAACCGAUCCCAUCUGUUAGAUCUGUAUAAACGAACCUAUGAUUCUUCAUAAUUGUGCCUAAACAUAUCACACCUAUUAGAUCUUCAUAAUUGUACCUACGCAAGAUCAUUAAUGCUAGAUUGCGUAACUAUAGCUACAUUGUACCUACAGUCCUACACAGAUCAUAGCAAGUAUAUUUUGUAACUAUAGCUACAUAAAUCACAAAUGAUAGAUCAUCAUAGUUGCAUUUAGAAAAAUCUCACAUGCAAAAGUAUUUUUAAGCGCACAUGUUAAUUAUUAUUAUUUGAACUAUAAACGAUAGUACAUGCAUGCUACAUGUUAUUUAAAUAACUUAGACCCACCACAUACAUUAAUGAUGUGCAAUGGAUACAUGACUCCUAUAAAAAUAUAGUAAAAAAUUUCCUUUUACCAUCUUAUGCUCUGUAAAUAUUAGACUACCGACAACAUAUUCUUUAGGACGAUACGCUAAAAAAGUGGUUGGAAAGUUAUUAGGCUCAAGCAUGAGCAUUGGCGAAGGAGUGCAUAAGCAUUGAUUAUUACCCCCUUCGUUCCUUUAUAUAAGGUGCGUUUGUUUUUCCAAAAGUUAAACGAGUGCAUGUUUGACCAAGUUUUUAGAAAAAUAUAUCAAUAUCCACAAUACAAAAUUCAUAUCAUUUGAUCCAUCAUGAAGAGUAGUUUCAUAUUUUAUCUACUAGGCAUUGCAGAUGUUGUUAUUUUAUUCUAUAAUCUUGGUCAAACAUUCAAAUGGUUGACUUGCACAGAAAUCAAUACACCUUAUAUUCUGGAACAGGGGGAGUAGAACCUAAGGAUUGAAGGCUGAGGGUGCUGGCCAUUGAUUUUUUAAAUUUUUUGUUUUAAUUAUAAGGGAAGGAUCCAACUGUAUAAGCAAAAUCUCAGUGCAAGCAUAAUUCGAGGAGGAUAUGAACAGAAGCAGAUAAAAUGACAUAUGGCAAAUAACACGUCGUUUUAGACAUGGAUACCGGCCUGCGCUAGCAACCAUAUGAGAAUUGAUCUAGCCGGUCUGCAUAUUGCGGGUUAGUUUGAUUGGAGUCAUCCACACCUACGGUAUAAACAGGUUAUUGAGAAACAAAAACUGUAUCAUUAGAUUUUUCUAAAUAUUUUAUAAUUCUUUUGUUAUUUCUUAGCAACAUAAUCAUAUAUUCAUAUACAAGAUGAAGGUUGAAGUUACUGCUUAGGACUGUAUCCGUGUCUAAAACGACGUGUUAUUUGCAGUGAAGGGGGUAAAUGCAGGGAUUUUUUGUAUAAGAUAAAAAAUAAAUACUAAACACUUCCG